rnacentral:rRNA from 1 species
AUGUCCUCUACCGGAGUAGAGCGGAGCGGCGACGGAGCACCUAGAAGCCGGAAUGCGAAGCGGCAGCAGCGGGGCUCGGGAGAUGAGCUUGAUGCUUUCUCGGAGGAGCUUCGACAGCGGCCAGAAGUAAGCAGCAUCAACAAGAUUGCGGUCGUCAUGGCGUACAUCCUAAUGGGCUUGAAAGGUGUGAGCGCCCUUGCGCUUUUGUGGGCCACCGUCGUCCUCCUCGGCGGCUUCGUCUCCGAUCUGACCAAGACUGAUUUUUGGUACCUCACCAUCAUCGGAUUCGUGCAGGCUGCCGGGUUAGUGCUUGCAUUCCAACUCUCCCUUACUGUCGAUGUUAAGCGUGGCAUAAAUUUCUUUCACGAUUCCUGA